GAGACUAUAGCUCAGCGGUAGAGUGCCUGCUUAGCAUGCAUGAGGCAUGGGUUCAAUCCCCAGUACUUCCA
rnacentral:tRNA from 1 species